AGAAAUGAGGCUUUGCUCUGCAUGGCAUCCACUGAGCUUUUAAAGAUUACAGAUGAGCAAGGGUUUAAAAAAAAAGUUAGAAAAAUCAAAAACAAAGCUUUAUAGCCACUUCAGAAAGCCUGGAUGUUUAACCUGUAAGGAAGUCUGUCAAAUCCUGUGGAAACCACAUAGAGUAAAGAUCAAUAGGAUGCCUACUGGCUCCAUUAGCUUGGAGCAAAAGCGGGAGAGCAAGGCUGCUCUUCUGCAAGAGAAACUGCAUUAUUCCGGGGAUUAUGCGGGAACAGUUCACUUUGCAGAGAAGAAGAGAAAGUGAAUGAAGAUUCUUGGUUGGCCAAGACUGGAAAGAGAGGGCUUGCCAGUCCACUGAAAAGGAGAAUUCUCCUCCCCUGCCAUGUGACCCUAGUUUUUCAAGUCUCAUCAGGACAGCCUGGAUCCUCUUCCUCUAUGGCAUGGCAAGACCACAUCACCAGGAGAAGAAAACAGGAAACAGGACAGGAGCCCUACCACUGAGAGCCUUUGAAAGACUCUGCCCAGCAAGAUAUUUGUCCCAAGAUGGAUGGUGUCUGAGAUGACUAAUCACUUGAAAACAAGAAUGAGGACAGAUUGCUUUCCUGGGAAUUCUACAUAAUGUUCCAAGCA